rnacentral:lncRNA from 1 species
AACCCAGGAGUGGAAUGCAAUCUUUUCUCCCACUGGAAGAGUGGAGUACAUGGUCUGGCCUUGCUGUCUCAGAUCACAGGAGAUGAACAGCACUGCUGCGUCUGCUGUGUUUUCAGUGUUCAUCUGACAGAGCAUGGGAGAAGACUACUGAGACUCUGGCUGGAGAGCAGAAGACGUGAUGUGAAGUCAAGCUUGGAACAAACAAGGGAAAUAUAUUCACAAUAUCUCUGAGAAAGAAGAGAUAUGAAAACUGUCUGUUGCUCUUUUAGGCUAAAGAGGAAUGCUCAGAAGUUUGAUGAAAGAUUAUAAGGAAUAAAAUUUAACUUCUAUAAGCA